rnacentral:rRNA from 1 species
GACGAACGCUGGCGGCGUGCUUAACACAUGCAAGUCGAACGAUGAACUUGGAGCUUGCUCUGGGGGAUUAGUGGCGAACGGGUGAGUAACACGUGAAUAACCUGCCCUGGACUCUGGGAUAACUUCGAGAAAUCGGAGCUAAUACCGGAUAGGACCUUGCACCGCAUGGUGUGGGGUGGAAAGUUUUUCGGUUUGGGAUGGACUCGCGGCCUAUCAGCUUGUUGGUGAGGUAAUGGCUCACCAAGGCGUCGACGGGUAGCCGGCCUGAGAGGGUGACCGGCCACACUGGGACUGAGACACGGCCCAGACUCCUACGGGAGGCAGCAGUGGGGAAUAUUGCACAAUGGGCGCAAGCCUGAUGCAGCAACGCCGCGUGCGGGAUGACGGCCUUCGGGUUGUAAACCGCUUUUAGUAGGGAAGAAGCCUUCGGGUGACGGUACCUGCAGAAAAAGGACCGGCUAACUACGUGCCAGCAGCCGCGGUAAUAC